rnacentral:rRNA from 1 species
CCUACCUCUAACCAGUCUCCUGCUCGCGUACGCAACCCGCGCGCCUGAUCUCCCUGAUCCCUCCCUGAUCUGGUCCAUCUCGAACCGCCACGAGACCUCCUCGACCACCUCUUCCGAUUUCUGCACCAAGCACUCGGUUUCCCGUUCAAGAUCGAGCACACGGACCUCACAAAAACUCCGCCGACCGAGCUUCCUUCCAUGGCCAAACCCCGGCAACUAUUGCCCGAAGCGUGAGGAGUAGAAAUAUCAGGAUUGUGAGUGCGAAGAACUUCAUCAAAUGUACCAGAUUUUAUACGACGAGUGAGUGAUACGAUGUAGGGUUAUGAUGUCUAUACUCGACAUUUGCCUGUGGUGUUGAUGGAUUUCAUGGAGAUUUAUUUGCUUUUCUGCUGUAUUUUUGUUAUGAAGCUAGCCUUGAGCUACACAGGUAUGUAAUGUGUAAAUUCUGGAUCUACGAUGUAAUAUUAUGACAUGUGG